rnacentral:rRNA from 1 species
GAUGAACGCUGGCGGCGUGCCUAAUACAUGCAAGUCGAGCGAACGGACGAGAAGCUUGCUUCUCUGAUGUUAGCGGCGGACGGGUGAGUGGCACGUGGAUAACCUACCUAUAAGACUGGGAUAACUUCGGGAAACCGGAGCUAAUACCGGAUAAUAUUUUGAACCGCAUGGUUCAAAAGUGAAAGACGGUCUUGCUGUCACUUAUAGAUGGAUCCGCGUUGCAUUAGCUAGUUGGUAAGGUAACGGCUUACCAAGGCAACGAUGCAUAGCCGACCUGAGAGGGUGAUCGGCCACACUGGAACUGAGACACGGUCCAGACUCCUACGGGAGGCAGCAGUAGGGAAUCUUCCGCAAUGGGCGAAAGCCUGACGGAGCAACGCCGCGUGAGUGAUGAAGGUCUUCGGAUCGUAAAACUCUGUUAUUAGGGAAGAACAUAUGUGUAAGUAACUGUGCACAUCUUGACGGUACCUAAUCAGAAAGCCACGGCUAACUACGUG